GACGAACGCUGGCGGCGUGCUUAACACAUGCAAGUCGAACGGAAAGGCCCCUUUGGGGGUACUCGAGUGGCGAACGGGCGAGUAACACGUGAGUAACCUGCCCUUGACUUCGGGAUAACUUCAGGAAACUGGGGCUAAUACCGGAUAGGAAUCCUUGCUGCAUGGUGGGGGUUGGAAAGCUUCGGCGGUUUUGGAUGGACUCGCGGCGUAUCAGCUUGUUGGUGGGGUAGUGGCUUACCAAGGCUUUGACGGGUAGCCGGCCUGAGAGGGCGACCGGCCACAUUGGGACUGAGAUACGGCCCAGACUCCUACGGGAGGCAGCAGUGGGGAAUAUUGCACAAUGGGCGGAAGCCUGAUGCAGCAACGCCGCGUGCGGGAUGACGGCCUUCGGGUUGUAAACCGCUUUCAGCAGGGGCGAAGCUUGUGGUGACGGUACCUGCAGAAGAAGCACCGGCUAACUACGUG
rnacentral:rRNA from 1 species